CUUAUGCCGGCGACCGGCGGACGGGUGCGUAACGCGUAUGUAACCUACCUUUGACAGGGGGAUAACAUCGAGAAAUUGGUACUAAUACCCCAUAACAUCACCGGAGGCAUCUUUGGUGGUUAAAAACUCAGGUGGUUAGAGAUGGACAUGCGUUGUAUUAGCUAGUUGGUGAGGUAACGGCUCACCAAGGCGACGAUACAUAGGGGGACUGAGAGGUCAACCCCCCACAUUGGUACUGAGACACGGACCAAACUCCUACGGAAGGCAGCAG
rnacentral:rRNA from 1 species